GGGGAUGUACCGGUUUCGACGGGGUGAAAUGUUCAGGUAGGAGCAAGCCGUGCUCGGUUCGUGGCGCACGUAAAUUCAACGGACAAAACAACAAGUGCAAACAACACUCCAAACGUUUAUGCAAUGAACUCUGUUCCUGCAUACAGCUUAGCCGCUUAAUUUUAUUUAGGUCGCUAACCAUCCGCCUGAAAGCUCGUCUAUUGGCUUUCGACGUGGGUGUAACCCUCAGAUAGACUGGCAGGUAUGGGAUUUUCGGCAGUACCUGUGAGAUAACACCGCAAACAGCGAGGCGGCUCCUGUCGUUUGGAUACCCGGCUCGUUAAACUCAAAAAACGAAUAAGCUUGUAGAGCCAACGGCUCAUGCACUUCGGACGCGGGUUCGACUCCCGCCAUCUCCACUU
rnacentral:tmRNA from 1 species